UUUUUUGAGAAUUUGAUCCUGGUUCAGGACGAAUGCUGGUGGCGUGCUUUAGGUAUGCAAGUCGAGCGGUCCCCUCUUUUUCUGUUUAACUGUAAAAUUUAAGUUGUUAGAUUCAAGAUUAACUUGGUUUAAUGACUUGUUGCUCAGAUUGAACAUAAAAAGAGGGGACAGCGGCAGACGGGUGAGUAAUACAUAGGAAUCUACCCCCCACAGGAAGAUAACUCCUCGAAAGAGGUGCUAAUACUCCAUAGUCUCGCAAGAGUAAAGGACUUAACUGUCCGGUGAGGGAGGAGCCUAUGUUCUAUCAGCUAGUUGGUAGGGUAAUGGCCUACCAAGGCUAUAACGGAUAACUGGACUGAGAGGUCGGCCAGUCACAGGGGCACUGAGAUACGGGCUCCACACCUACGGGUGGCAGCAACCAGGGAUAUUGCGCAAUGGACGAAAGUCUGACGCAGCGACGCCGCGUGGAGGAUGAAGGCCUUCGGGUUGUAAACUCCUUUUGCCAAGCUCUUCACGGCUUGGAGAAUAAGCCUCUACUAACUACGUGCCAGAAGUCUCGGUAAUACGUAGGAGGCAAGCAUUGUCCGGAUUUAUUGGGCGUAAAGAGUGUGUAGGCGCCCCUUUAAGUCGCAUUUUAAAUCCUAAGGCUCAACCUUAGAAUUGGAUGCGAUACUAUUGGGGUUGAAGAUUGUUCAGGGUACUGGAACAGCUGGUGUAGUGGUGAAAUACGUUGAUAUCAGCUGGAACACCAAAGGCGAAAGCAGGUACUUGGAAUCAUCUUGACGCUGAGACACGAAAGCUAGGGUAGCGAAACAGAUUAGAGACCUGUGUAGUCCUAGCUGUAAACAAUGGGCGCUAGCUAGGUCGCCUUUGGCGAUCUGGCGUAAGCUAACGCGUUAAGCGCCCCGCCUGGGGAGUACGGCCGCAAGGCUAAAACUCAAAGGAAUUGACGGGGACCCGCACAACCAGUGGAGCGUGUGGUUCAAUUCGAGACGAAGCGAAAAACCUCACCAGGGUUUGACAUACUAGCGUUCUAUUUCAAUGAAAGUUGAGAAAUGCGCAAGCAGGCUAGUACAGGUGCUGCAUGGCUGUCGUCAGCUCGUGCCGUGAGGUGUUCCCUUAAGUGGGGAAACGAGUGCAACCCCUAUUCAAUGUUAAAUAUUCAUUGAAGACGGUCCCGCCUUUGGCGGGAAGGAAGGAGGGGCGGACGUCAAGUCAGCAUGGCCCUUAUACCCUGGGCUACACACACCCUACAAUGGCGAAGAACAAUGGGUUUGCAACACCGCGAGGUGAAGCCAAUCCCUGAAAUUUCGCCUCAGUUCAGAUUGCAGGCUGCAAUUCGCCUGCAUGAAGUCGGAAUUGGUAGUAAUCGCGGAUCAGCAUGCCGCGGUGAAUGCGUUCUCGGGUCUUGUACACACCGCCCGUCAAGGCAGCAAAGUCGGUAGCUAUCGAAUCCCCUCUUUU
rfam:Candidatus Levybacteria bacterium RIFCSPHIGHO2_01_FTLL_36_15 rifcsphigho2_01_scaffold_11176, whole genome shotgun sequence.